rnacentral:tRNA from 1 species
CAAGGUUUAUUUUAAUAAAAGAAUAUAUGAUUGUUGAUCAUGAGGUUUAAACUUUGG